CGGCGACCGGCGCACGGGUGAGUAACACGUAUGCGACCUGCCCGUAGCAGGGGGAUAAGCGGAAGAAAUUCCGUCUAAUACCGCGUAACAACCCGAGGAGGCAUCUCCUCGGGUUUAAAGGAAGCGAUUCCGGCUACGGAUGGUCAUGCGUCGCAUUAGCUAGUUGGCGGGGUAACGGCCCACCAAGGCGACGAUGCGUAGGGGUUCUGAGAGGAAGGUCCCCCACACUGGUACUGAGACACGGACCAGACUCCUACGGAAGGCAGCAG
rnacentral:rRNA from 1 species